rnacentral:rRNA from 1 species
CCCGCUGAACUUAAGCAUAUCAAUAAGCGGAGGAAAAGAAACCAGCAGGGAUUGCCUUAGUAACGGCGAGUGAAGCGGCAAAAGCUCAAAUUUGAAAUCUGGCUUCCUUUUUGGGGCCCGAGUUGUAAUUUGGAGAGGAUGCUUUGGGUGCGGCUGCGGUCUAAGUCCCCUGGAACGGGGCAUCAUAGAGGGUGAGAAUCCCGUCUGGGACCGCUGAGUCAUGCCUAUGUAAAGCUCCUUCGACGAGUCGAGUUGUUUGGGAAUGCAGCUCUAAAUGGGUGGUAAAUUUCAUCUAAAGCUAAAUAUUGGCCGGAGACCGAUAGCGCACAAGUAGAGUGAUCGAGAGAUGAAAAGCACUUUGAAAAGAGAGUUAAACAGCAUGUGAAAUUGUUGAAAGGGAAGCGCUUGCGACCAGACUCGCCCGCGGAGGCUCAGCCGGCAUGCUUUGGCGGUGCAAUCCUUCGCGGUCGAGCCAGCGUCGGUUCUGACGGUUGGUUAAAGGCUCUCGGAAUGUGUCGUCUCUCGGGGCGUCUUAUAGCCGAGGGUGCAAUGCGACCUGUUGGGACCGAGGAACGCGCUUCGGCACGGACGCUGGCGUAAUGGUCGUAAGCGACCCGUCUUGAAACACGG